CCCCUCGGGAAAGCCUUCUUCGGAUUGCGAGUACAGUGGCGAACGGGUGAGUAACGCGUGGGAAACCUGCCCUCGAGUGUGGAAUAACAGCUCUAACGGGCUGCUAAUACCGCAUAUCAUUGCAGACCGCAUGAUCUGCUCUCAAAGAUGGCCUCUACUUGUAAGCUGUCGCUUGAGGAUGGUCCCGCGUCCCAUUAGCUAGUUGGUGAGGUAACGGCUCACCAGGGCGACGAUGGGUAGCCGGCCCGAGAGGGUGGUCGGCCACACUGGAACUGAGACACGGUCCAGACUCCUACGGGAGGCAGCAGUGAGGAAUAUUGCGCAAUGGGGGAAACCCUGACGCAGCGAUGCCGCGUGGGUGAAGAAGGCUUUCCCGAGG
rnacentral:rRNA from 1 species